rnacentral:rRNA from 1 species
GACGAACGCUGGCGGCGUGCUUAACACAUGCAAGUCGAACGGAAAGGCCCUGCUUUUGUGGGGUGCUCGAGUGGCGAACGGGUGAGUAACACGUGAGUAACCUGCCCUUGACUUUGGGAUAACUUCAGGAAACUGGGGCUAAUACCGGAUAGGAGCUCCUGCUGCAUGGUGGGGGUUGGAAAGUUUCGGCGGUUGGGGAUGGACUCGCGGCUUAUCCGCUUGUUGGUGGGGUAGUGGCUUACCAAGGCUUUGACGGGUAGCCGGCCUGGGAGGGUGACCGGCCACAUUGGGACUGAGAUACGGCCCAGACUCCUACGGGAGGCAGCAGUGGGGAAUAUUGCACAAUGGGCGGAAGCCUGAUGCAGCAACGCCGCGUGCGGGAUGACGGCCUUCGGGUUGUAAACCGCUUUCGCCUGUGACGAAGCGUGAGUGACGGUAAUGGGUAAAGAAGCACCGGCUAACUACGUG